CUGGCGGCGUGCCUAAUACAUGCAAGUCGAGCGAAUGGAUUGAGAGCUUGCUCUCAAGAAGUUAGCGGCGGACGGGUGAGUAACACGUGGGUAACCUGCCCAUAAGACUGGGAUAACUCCGGGAAACCGGGGCUAAUACCGGAUAAUAUUUUGAACUGCAUAGUUCGAAAUUGAAAGGCGGCUUCGGCUGUCACUUAUGGAUGGACCCGCGUCGCAUUAGCUAGUUGGUGAGGUAACGGCUCACCAAGGCAACGAUGCGUAGCCGACCUGAGAGGGUGAUCGGCCACACUUGGGACUUGAGACACGGCCCAGACUCCUACGGGAGGCAGCAGUAGGGAAUCUUCCGCAAUGGACGAAAGUCUGACGGAGCAACCGCCGCGUGAGUGAUGAAGGCUUUCGGGUCGUAAAACUCUGUUGUUAGGGAAGAACAAGUGCUAGUUGAAUAAGCUGGCACCUUGACGGUACCUAACCAGAAAGCCACGGCUAACUACGUGCCAGCAGCCGCGGUAAUACGUAGGUGGCAAGCGUUAUCCGGAAUUAUUGGGCCGUAAAGCGCGCGCAGGUGGUUUCUUAAGUCUGAUGUGAAAGCCCACGGCUCAACCGUGGAGGGUCAUUGGAACUGGGAGACUUUGAGUGCAGAAGAGAAAGUGGAAUUCCAUGUGUAGCGGUGAAAUGCGUAGAGAUA
rnacentral:rRNA from 1 species